GAUUCAGGAAAUGUGUUUUUGACAAAUAGAUUCCUUACUAGGCAUAUUAAUACAGAACCCGGAGUAAUAAUUCACUUAAAUUACAAUCCAGAACUGUAUUUCCCUCACCCCUCAGAAACGGUGCAAAGGCUCGGGUGAGUUAGGGGUAAUGGAGGAGCUGAGGGAGAGGGUAGUAAAUUUCUGGAAAGGAGCCUAGGUGUGAACUUGGAGGGUUGUUGAGUAUGGGUGGGAAAAUUAUGAAACAGGUUUUUUGUGGGGGCGGGGAGGGAUUGUUUGGGAAUUGAG